rnacentral:lncRNA from 1 species
AGAAAAGAAAGAAAGGGGAGAAGAGAAAAAGAAGAGAGAAGAAGAAGAGAAAAGAAGAAAGAAAAGAAGAGAAAAAGAAGAAAGAAAAGAGAGAAGAAGAAAGAGAGAGAAAAUUUAGUGAGCCUCACAUAUUGUAAACUCUAAAGUUGUAGCCCCAUUAUUUCAUAUAGUGCAAAAGUUACUGCUGUUGCUCUCCGAGGACGUAGGCAUAGCCGAACCUCGUUAAAUGCUGUGUCUCAUCUACUUUACGUGCAGCUUAAUAUUCGUACAUAUUCCAAGUCAUUUUAUAACACGUUAUCAGCACGAAAAGCUCUCAGGUAUAAUUUUUAUGCUACACUAUUUCAAUUACUUUAGUAUUCUCCUACACUAUUUAACUUGCUCUGCAGGUGGAAAAGCAGUAGCAAACUUGAUAUCCAUCACUUUUUGCAUACUUUAUAUAAUAUGCCAUAUAGCUAAUAUAUUAGUAUAAUAAUAUUAUAUUAUUAUAUGAUCAAUUUUUUUGUGGUGGUUUUUAUCCCCACAUUUAUUUUAUUUAUGGUAUGGUGUAGGUUUAUUACUCAUACAACAGUAUCUAUUUAAAAGGGUGGUGCGGGUUUAUCGUCCACGCCUUUAGUUUUAUUUAAAUGUAUGGAGCAGAAUUAGUGCCCAUACAAGCGCAAUAUCUAUUUAAAAGGGUGGUGCGGGUUUAUCGUCCACGCCUUUACUUUUAUUUAAAUGUAUGGAGCAGAAUUAGUGCCCAUACACGCACGUUUACUUUAUCGCAAAUUUACUUUUACUUAAAGUAUGAUGUGGAAUUAACCCUCAUACUUUAUGAAAUUACUUUACUGCAUAUUUAAUUUUAUUUAAGGUAUGGUGCGGGAUUAACGUCCAUACAGCAAUUUAAUUUAUGAAUUUAUUUUACCGCACAUUUACAUUUAUUUAAAGUAUGGUGCGGGUUUAUCGUCCAUACCAGUAAUUUAUUUACCAGUAAUUUAUUUUAUGGAUUAAUUGUGUUGUAUGAUGAGUUUUUACAGUAUACAGAUCAUGACCAGAAGUUCCUUGAUCCUCAUCAUACAAUUACAUCAGGACUUGAAGAUCCUUGAUGAUGAUAUUGAUAUGAGAGCUGGCAGUCUCUCCGGUACUAUAUUUGUAAACA